rnacentral:rRNA from 1 species
UACGUAGGGUGCAAGCGUUGUCCGGAAUUAUUGGGCGUAAAGAGCUCGUAGGCGGUUCGUCGCGUCGGCUGUGAAAACCCGGAGCUCAACUCCGGGCCUGCAGUCGAUACGGGCGGACUUGAGUGUUGCAGGGGAGACUGGAAUUCCUGGUGUAGCGGUGAAAUGCGCAGAUAUCAGGAGGAACACCGGUGGCGAAGGCGGGUCUCUGGGCAACUACUGACGCUGAGGAGCGAAAGCUAGGGGAGCAAACGGG